rnacentral:tRNA from 1 species
GAGGGUGUAGCUCAAGUGGUAGAGCACGUGCUUAGCAUGCAUGAGGUCCUGGGUUCAAUCCCCCGGUACCUCCU